UAUCAAUAGACCAUAGUUAAACUUUGAUUACAUUUACUACUUUGUAAGAAGACAAUGAAAACCCUUAUCCCAAUGACCCAAACUGAGACAGCAGCAUGGGGCCAUGACUCACCUUGGGAUCUCUCCUGCCACCACCGCCAGAGGAGGGGUCUCGGCCCCACGCAGCCUGGCCUGGCCUUCGGCUUCCACCCUAUAAGGGAGACCCAAGAGACAAGGUGACACCCACAGUGAGACGCCAUCGACUGGGCUCCUCGGGCGGUCGGCGCUGCCCCGUUGGGCUCGAGGAUGGAAAGGCAGGAAGAGAAAGGCCCCGUUUCCUUGCGAGUGGACCUCAGAGUUCCAGACACACAUUAUUCGUCAUCGAUGCCUCAUACGCUGGCAUUGAUCAUCAUCGAUCCAGAAAAGGGGGACCUCAGAGUUCCAGACACACAUUAUUCGUCAUCGAUGCCUCAUACGCUGGCAUUGAUCAUCAUCGAUCCAGAAAAGGGGGACCUUCUCUUCCUUCGCCAUGGCCCGUGGAGUCAGGCAUUCCUCCCCGCACGGCCACUGGGCAACCCAAGGGGCCCGCCCCACCCAACGAGGCCUCGCCAUCCCUCGGGGGGGCCUCUAGGACCCGUCCCCUGGCUUUCGGUCUCUCUGGGCCGCGGAGGACCAGCUGGGCCCCUGUGCAGGACGUCCAAGAGACCUUCCUAGCCAGAGCUGUCCCAUCCCUGGGACGCCAGAGCCCUUCUGGACUGCUGGCCUCGCCCGCAUCUGCCGCCCACCCUCCACCAGCCCCUCGCACUGCCCUGCCCAGCCCAGCCCCGACAAGCCCUGGGAUGCUGCUCACACUGGCCUUCUGGAUCCAGAGACAACGCUGCCAUCCUCGCCUGCUCAUCCAGGAAGGAGCCUG
rnacentral:lncRNA from 1 species